UGCAAGUCGAGCGGUAGAGAGGUGCUUGCACCUCUUGAGAGCGGCGGACGGGUGAGUAAAGCCUAGGAAUCUGCCUGGUAGUGGGGGAUAACGCUCGGAAACGGACGCUAAUACCGCAUACGUCCUACGGGAGAAAGCAGGGGACCUUCGGGCCUUGCGCUAUCAGAUGAGCCUAGGUCGGAUUAGCUAGUUGGUGAGGUAAUGGCUCACCAAGGCGACGAUCCGUAACUGGUCUGAGAGGAUGAUCAGUCACACUGGAACUGAGACACGGUCCAGACUCCUACGGGAGGCAGCAGUGGGGAAUAUUGGACAAUGGGCGAAAGCCUGAUCCAGCCAUGCCGCGUGUGUGAAGAAGGUCUUCGGAUUGUAAAGCACUUUAAGUUGGGAGGAAGGGCAUUAACCUAAUACGUUAGUGUUUUGACGUUACCGACAGAAUAAGCACCGGCUAACUCUGUGCCAGCAGCCGCGGUAAUACAGAGGGUGCAAGCGUUAAUCGGAAUUACUGGGCGUAAAGCGCGCGUAGGUGGUUCGUUAAGUUGGAUGUGAAAUCCCCGGGCUCAACCUGGGAACUGCAUUCAAAACUGUCGAGCUAGAGUAUGGUAGAGGGUGGUGGAAUUUCCUGUGUAGCGGUGAAAUGCGUAGAUAUAGGAAGGAACACCAGUGGCGAAGGCGACCACCUGGACUGAUACUGACACUGAGGUGCGAAAGCGUGGG
rnacentral:rRNA from 1 species